UGUGUUUGUAUAGUUAUAGAGAACUGAAAAUUAUAGAGUAUAAACAAUUCUUUUUUUUUAAUUGAAAGAUACAGAAAUGAAAAUUGUACAGAGGGGAAUUACGAAGUAUGAUACGUUUUUUUUUUUUUUUUUUAUAAUAUACAUUUGUAUAUGAAAGUGGUUCUAGAAAGGGUCUUGUGAUAGGGGUCUUCCAUAUGGAUCGUCGUGUUGUGUAUUGUUGUCUUGGAUUAUAUCGUCUUCAUCGUCAGAG
rnacentral:lncRNA from 1 species